GGGAAGCAGAGUUACGUUUAAUAAAAUUACUGAAUAACAUGAAAGGAGCUGCGAAAUCUUUAUUUUUUUUAACCCAUAAAAUUAUCUACAACAGCUGAACCAAUAUUCUUGGCUAUAUAACUUGACAAAAUGAAAGCAUCAAAACUAUUAGGACCAACCUGAAGCAUGACUUAAAUAAAAACGAGUAAGUAACCUUUAAAACUUCAAACAAAAACUAAGACAAUCAAUUUACUCCCAUUCUGCUUCAGGUUUUUUUACUACUGCAACUCUACUGUUUGCUCAAGAGUCUGCAGGCGGCUGCUGUUGUUGCUGUGGCCAAAUUGGCUGUGCAACAUAAGGACGAGUAUGUUGGCCGUAGAGAUUUUGAUCCACCAAAGGCUGACCGACAUUCAUCCCUGGAGCAGCGACCUGUGGAGCAAACUGAGGUGACAUGUAAUAG
rnacentral:misc_RNA from 1 species